rnacentral:lncRNA from 1 species
CGGACCAGCGGGCCUGCUGCCUCUACCGACCAGUCCCUGCUCAGGCGUGCACAUCGAGCGGCGGGGCGCUGUGGAACGCGGGAGCGGACUAGCGGAGGAGGAUGCGGACCAAGCCCCAGCGACCCAGGGCAACUCGGAGUUACCUGGGGCAGCCUUGCGGGUCUCCAGGGAGAACCGAGGAGACGGGAGAAACACGGGAGAGGGUGGCCUUUUCCCUGUUCACACACACACGCACGCAGCCACUGGCCGGGACAGUUGACACCCAUCUUCCUUCCCUGCUCCUUCCAGUCAUUCUACACCCGGUUGGUGCUGCCAGUGCGGCAGGGCCUUGGAGCCCAAAGCGGAUCCCCACACUUGUCCCUACGGUCGGAAGGAAAGUAGAGGAGAGAAAGUCAGGCGCGGCAGGGCUAAGAGCGUUAGUGGCCCAAAUGUUCCUGGCCC